rnacentral:rRNA from 1 species
AAUCAACGCUGGCGGCGUGCCUCAGACAUGCAAGUCGAACGAUUAAGACUUCCUUCGGGAAGUGUAUAAAGUGGCGCACGGGUGAGUAACACGUAGGUAAUGUGCCUUUGGGUGGGGAAUAACUUAGGGAAACUUAAGCUAAUACCGCAUAAUGCAGCGGCUCGACAUCGAGACAGUUGUUAAAGGAGUAAUCCGCCUAAAGAGCAGCCUGCGGCAGAUUAGCUAGUUGGUAAGGUAAUGGCUUACCAAGGCUACGAUCUGUAACAGACCUGAGAGGGUGGUCGGUCACACUGACACUGAAUAACGGGUCAGACUCCUACGGGAGGCAGCAGUCGGGAAUUUUGGGCAAUGGGCGAAAGCCUGACCCAGCAACGCCGCGUGAAGGAUGAAGUAUUUCGGUAUGUAAACUUCGUAAGAAUAGGAGGAAUAAAUGACGGUACUAUUUGUAAGGUCCGGCUAACUACGUGCCAGCCGCCGCGGUAAUAC